rfam:Phaseolus vulgaris cultivar G19833 chromosome 2, whole genome shotgun sequence.
AUACCUUUCUCGGCCUUUUGGCUAAGAUCAAGUGUAGUAUCUGUUCUUAUCAGUUUAAUAUCUGAUAUGUGGACUAUUAGUUCACAUGAUAUUAAAUUAAUUUUUUGAGGGAGAGGGCCGUUAAAGUAGCUUGCUACUUGGUUCCUCAAGCAUCGCCUUUGUGUUGCACUAUUACAAAGGCCUGGUGUAUCCCAC